UCCGUAGGGGGCAAGCGUUGUCCGGAUUUAUUGGGCGUAAAGAGCGUGUAGGCGGCCAGGUAGGUCCGGUGUGAAAACUCGAGGCUCAACCUCGAGACGCCGAUGGAAACCAUCUGACUAGAGUCCGGAAGAGGAGAGUGGAAUUCCUGGUGUAGCGGUGAAAUGCGCAGAUAUCGGGAAGAACACCGGUGGCGAAGGCGGCUCUCUGGGCCUGUCCUGACGCUCAGGCGCGAAAGCUAGGGGAGCGAACAGG
rnacentral:rRNA from 1 species